AUGCAGAGGACAACGCAUGAUCUCAAAAUUUGGGCAAAGACUCUUUUUAGCGAUGCAAAGGUUCAGUUUCAUCUGGCGUGUGCAGUAAUCUUGAGACUUGAUGUAGCUCAAGAAAAAAGAGGACUGACACAACAGGAAUUCUGGUUAAGGAAACAACUGAGACUUCGUACCCUUGGACUGGCUGCAGUGGAGAGAUCAAGGAAAAGACAGGCAUCAAGGCUAACCUGGCUCAAGGCGGGAGAUGCACGAACGGCCUUCUUCCAAGCAAAGAUCAAUUCCAGAAGGAGGAAGAACUUUAUACACUCCCUGCAAACUGAAACGAGUACAGUCACUGCGCACGAGGAAAAGAAAGCAAUUGCCCAUGACCACUUUGCAAAUCUGCUGGGGAAAAAGGAGGAAAGGCGAUGCUCCAUCAACCGGGAGGAGUUGGAUAUGCCAAAUAUGCAAAACGAGGGGCUGGACAAUCCUUUCUCGAAACCUGAAGUUUGGGCUGCUAUCAUGGCAUCUCCAUCUGAGAAAGCUCCAGGCCCCGACGGCUUCUCAGGAACUUUCUUCAGAGCUUGCUGGGGCACCAUAAAGAAUGACGUCAUGGCAGUUUUUGAUCACUUCUACAACCUAGCUGAAGGUGAUUUUACCGAAGUCAACUCAGCCAUGAUCGCCCUCAUUCCCAAGAAGGACGGACGGGGCUACUAG
rnacentral:rRNA from 1 species